rnacentral:rRNA from 1 species
UACGUAGGUGGCAAGCGUUGUCCGGAAUUAUUGGGCGUAAAGCGCGCGCAGGCGGUCCUUUAAGUCUGAUGUGAAAGCCCACGGCUCAACCGUGGAAGGUCAUUGGAAACUGGGGGACUUGAGUACAGAAGAGGAAAGCGGAAUUCCACGUGUAGCGGUGAAAUGCGUAGAGAUGUGGAGGAACACCAGUGGCGAAGGCGGCUUUCUGGUCUGUAACUGACGCUGAGACGCGAAAGCGUGGGGAGCAAACAGG